rnacentral:rRNA from 1 species
UACGUAGGGCGCAAGCGUUGUCCGGAAUUAUUGGGCGUAAAGAGCUCGUAGGCGGUUUGUCGCGUCUGCCGUGAAAGUCCGGGGCUCAACUCCGGAUCUGCGGUGGGUACGGGCAGACUAGAGUGAUGUAGGGGAGACUGGAAUUCCUGGUGUAGCGGUGAAAUGCGCAGAUAUCAGGAGGAACACCGGUGGCGAAGGCGGGUCUCUGGGCCGAAACUGACGCUGAGGAGCGAAAGCGUGGGGAGCAAACAGG